GACGAACGCUGGCGGCGUGCCUAAUACAUGCAAGUCGAACGCUUUUUCUUUCACCGGAGCUUGCUCCACCGAAAGAAAAAGAGUGGCGAACGGGUGAGUAACACGUGGGUAACCUGCCCAUCAGAAGGGAAUAACACUUGGAAACAGGUGCUAAUACCGUAUAACACUAUUUUCCGCAUGGAAGAAAGUUGAAAGGCGCUUUUGCGUCACUGAUGGAUGGACCCGCGGUGCACUAGCUAGUUGGUGAGGUAACGGCUCACCAAGGCAACGAUGCAUAGCCGACCUGAGAGGGUGAGCGGCCACACUGGGACUGAGACACGGCCCAGACUCCUACGGGAGGCAGCAGUAGGGAAUCUUCGGCAAUGGACGAAAGUCUGACCGAGCAACGCCGCGUGAGUGAAGAAGGUUUUCGGAUCGUAAAACUCUGUUGUUAGAGAAGGACAAGGAUGGGAGUAAAACGUUCAUCCCUUGACGGUAUCUAACCAGAAAGCCACGGCUAACUACGUGCCAGCAGCCGCCGUAA
rnacentral:rRNA from 1 species